rnacentral:rRNA from 1 species
UGGGGAAUAUUGCACAAUGGGCGAAAGCCUGAUGCAGCAACGCCGCGUGAGUGAUGAAGGUCUUCGGAUUGUAAAGCUCUGUCUUUUGGGACGAUAAUGACGGUACCAAAGGAGGAAGCCACGGCUAACUACGUGCCAGCAGCCGCGGUAAUACGUAGGUGGCGAGCGUUGUCCGGAUUUACUGGGCGUAAAGGGUGCGUAGGCGGAUGUUUAAGUGAGAUGUGAAAUACCCGGGCUUAACUUGGGUGCUGCAUUUCAAACUGGAUAUCUAGAGUGCAGGAGAGGAGAAUGGAAUUCCUAGUGUAGCGGUGAAAUGCGGUAGAGAUUAGGAAGAACACCAGUGGCGAAGGCGAUUCUCUGGACUGUAGCUGACGCUGAGGCACGAAAGCGUGGGUAGCAAACAGGAUUAGAUACCCUGGUAGUCCACGCCGUAAACGAUGAGUACUAGGUGUAGGAGGUNUCGACCCCUUCUGUGCCGCAGUAAACACAUUA